rnacentral:rRNA from 1 species
UACGUAGGGGGCAAGCGUUGUCCGGAAUCAUUGGGCGUAAAGCGCGUGUAGGCGGCUCGAUAAGUCUGCUGUGAAAGCCCCCGGGCUCAACCCGGGAAGUGCACUCGAUACUGCCACGCUAGAGUAUCGGAGAGGUUGGUGGAAUUCUCGGUGUAGAGGUGAAAUUCGUAGAUAUCGAGAGGAACACCGGUGGCGAAGGCGGCCAACUGGACGAAUACUGACGCUGAGACUCGAAAGCGUGGGGAGCAAACAGG